rnacentral:rRNA from 1 species
ACGCUCGACACCUACGGGGGGCAGCAGUCGGGAAUAUUGCGCAAUGGAGGAAACUCUGACGCAGUGACGCCGCGUGCAGGAAGAAGGUUUUCGGAUUGUAAACUGCUUUAGACAGGGAAGAAAAAAGAACAGUACCUGUAGAAUAAGCUCCGGCUAACUACGUGCCACAGCCGCGGUAAUCUGAGCGGGCGUGGCAAGGC